UCACUCCGUAUGAUAGUUUUGUUCAAUUUUAUAAUAGAAACUUUGUAAAGAUUCAAAUUGCACUUCCGGCUAAGAAAAAAUCGAAAUGAAUUCAAAUUUAUACCAAGACAGCAUUUUCUACAGUUCAGUUAAUAUGAGCGUGAACCUUCUGCAGCUUCUCCAGCUGAUCGAUGUGAACUCUUUGGAUUUUCUGGUUGCUCGCAAAUCGAAGCAUGUCAAAUCGCUUAUUGCCCCAGCGCCAAAAAAGCAAUCAAAGGCCACGGACCCCGACCGGGCCAAGUGAAUUGAAGUGAAUGAAUGAUGCGGAGCAGAACAAAGUUAAAAAUGUCGAAUCGAAAGCCAAGACACGAUGCUACACAUAUAUCGUAUAUAUAGUAAAGCGGAUUCAAGCUUCAAAAAUUGCGUGAAGCGUCGCAUUAUGCUUAUGGCUGGGAUGUCGAAUGCUGAUGAUGGCUUCGCUGACUUGGUUGGUUGGUCCAUGGAGGCCAAAGGGCCAAGGGGCCAACAUCGAUUUCAUUGCUUUGCUUUGCGCUUUGUUUGCUCAUCUUUGCAGACCUUUGAAGGCAGCGCCAAGAGCCAAACCCAAAACCCCAAAUCGAAACCGAAACCAAAGUCGAAACCGAGACUGAGGAGACCAAGUGCUUGACCUUGUUUAAACAUCAAAAACCAUAUUAUUGCCAAGCCGACGCCUUGUGUCUUUCUUUCGGUCUUUGCGGUCUUUAAGGUUUCACUUGCCUCUUUCGACGACUUGGCUGCAAUUCGAUUUGUUGGCUUUGGGUUUCGCUUACAGCCGCCUCGACUCGAGUCGAC